CCGUGCUAGGUGGGAAAUUAGCGGUGUCCUGUAACUCGCAAUCCGCUUUAGCGAGACUGAAUUCCUUUUCUAGGUUGUCCGAAUUGUAGAGCAGCCUUUUGCACGUAGUGUUGACGAUUGGGUCCUGCGCAAUGAGUUCCCACGAACCAUGUCAGGUCCGAGAGGAAGCAGCAUUAAGUGGUCAAACUUAUGUGCCGCAGGAUCGCCUAAUCUGAGCUAACGACAAAAGUAACGUUUAUGUUCGGCUGUCAAAAAAAGGUGCACGG
rnacentral:SRP_RNA from 1 species